GAUGAACGCUGGCGGCGUGCUUAACACAUGCAAGUCGAACGGUGAAGCAGGAGCUUGCUCUUGUGGAUCAGUGGCGAACGGGUGAGUAACACGUGAGCAACCUGCCCCUGACUCUGGGAUAAGCGCUGGAAACGGCGUCUAAUACUGGAUAUGUGAUGUGACCGCAUGGUCUGCAUCUGGAAAGAAUUUCGGUUGGGGAUGGGCUCGCGGCCUAUCAGCUUGUUGGUGAGGUAAUGGCUCACCAAGGCGUCGACGGGUAGCCGGCCUGAGAGGGUGACCGGCCACACUGGGACUGAGACACGGCCCAGACUCCUACGGGAGGCAGCAGUGGGGAAUAUUGCACAAUGGGCGGAAGCCUGAUGCAGCAACGCCGCGUGAGGGAUGACGGCCUUCGGGUUGUAAACCUCUUUUAGCAGGGAAGAAGCGAAAGUGACGGUGCCUGCAGAAAAAGCACCGGCUAACUGCGUGCCAGCCGCCGCGGUAA
rnacentral:rRNA from 1 species